ACGCUCGACACCUACGGGAGGCAGCAGUAGGGAAUCUUCCACAAUGGACGCAAGUCUGAUGGAGCAACGCCGCGUGAGUGAAGAAGGUCUUCGGAUCGUAAAACUCUGUUGUUAGAGAAGAACACGAGUGAGAGUAACUGUUCAUUCGAUGACGGUAUCUAACCAGCAAGUCACGGCUAACUACGUGCUAGCAGCCGCGGUAAUCUGAGCGGGCUGGCAAGGC
rnacentral:rRNA from 1 species